ACGGCUCAGUAACACGUAGUUAACCUAACCUAUGGAUGGGGAUAACCUCGGGAAACUGAGAAUAAUCCCCGAUAGACCACAAUGCCUGGAAUGGUUUGUGGUUGAAAUGAUUUAUCGCCGUAGGAUGGGACUGCGGCCUAUCAGCUAGUUGGUGAGGUAAUGGCCCACCAAGGCUAUAACAGGUACGGGCUCUGAGAGGAGGGGCCCGGAGAUGGGUACUGAGACACGGACCCAGGCCCUAUGGGGCGCAGCAGGCGAGAAACCUUUGCAAUGUGCGAAAGCACGACAAGGUUAAUCCGAGUGUCUUCUGCUAAAGAAGUCUUUUGUUAGUCAUAGAACCACUGAUGAAUAAGGGGUGGGCAAGUUCUGGUGUCAGCCGCCGCGGUAAAACCAGCACCUCGAGUGGUCAGGAGGUUUAUUGGGCCUAAAGCAUCCGUAGCCGGUUGUUUAAGUUUUCGGUUAAAUCUAUGCGCUUAACGUAUAGGCUGCCGAAAAUACUGGACAGCUAGGGAGUGGGAGAGGUACACGGUACUCAAUAGGAAGGGGUAAAAUCCUUUGAUCUGUUGAUGACCACCGGUGGCGAAGGCGGUGUACCAGAACACGUUCGACGGUGAGGGAUGAAAGCUGGGGGAGCAAACCGGAUUAGAUACCCGGGUAGUCCCAGCUGUAAACGAUGCAAACUCGGUGAUGCAUUGGCUUGUGGCCAAUGCAGUGCCGCAGGGAAGCCGUUAAGUUUGCCGCCUGGGAAGUACGUACGCAAGUAUGAAACUUAAAGGAAUUGGCGGGGGAGCAC
rnacentral:rRNA from 1 species